rnacentral:ncRNA from 2 species
GAUAAUCGAAGAGGUGCAACUGACAUCACUAGCAAUUAUGAGUUAGGCAAAAUGAAGAUUAAUUGUGAAAGGGAAAGUUGCCGAAGCUUGGCCACGCUAAAGGCAUAAGCUGGGCCGUGAUUGAAUAAGUUACGGACUGUCGCGAAUACAAUUCGCGGAGCGCUAUCGACUACA